AAUAUUGACAGGCUCAAGAAAGACCUGAGCUGAUCUUAUUCAACAUGGACAGAUGCUUUCUACUCAUUGUUAUUAUGGGAACAGGUUUGGUGUCCGGGGACAGUAUUGAGCCAGAUAAAGAGAAAAAUGUUAUCACAAAAGAAACAGAAACUGUCAAGCUGAGUUGCUCGUACAGUACAACCAGAAAUGAAGUUCGUCUUUUCUGGUUCAGACAAUAUCUGCAUGGAGAACCUUUGUUUUUAACAUACAGAGGUGCUCGAUCUUGGAAAAACACAUACACCGCUGAUGCUCGGUUUCAGUCUGUUACAUCAAAUACAUCCACUGAACUCUCUAUAACUGAUGUACGUCUGUCAGAUUCAGCUCAUUAUUACUGUGCUUUAUUAGUAGGAGCCCAGUGA